GGGCACAUGGUGUAGUUGGUUAUCACGCUCGCUUUGCAUCAUAAUCGCCUCUGCGCGACAUCCGGUUCUGCGAGUGGUCUCCGGUUCAAUUCCGGAUGUGUCCA